AGAGUUUGAUCCUGGCUCAGGACGAACGCUGGCGGCGUGCCUAAGACAUGCAAGUCGAGCGGAGCCUUGGGACUUCGGUUCUGAGGCUUAGCGGCGGACGGGUGAGUAACACGUGGAUAACCUGCCCUCGGCUCUGGGAUAACAGGCCGAAAGGCCUGCUAAUACCGGAUAAGCUCACGGCCCCGCAUGGGGCAGGGAGAAAAGGCGCUGACGAGGCGCUGGCAGAGGAGGGGUCCGCGGCCCAUUAGCUGGUUGGUGAGGUAACGGCUCACCAAGGCGACGAUGGGUAGCCGGCCUGAGAGGGUGACCGGCCACACUGGGACUGAGACACGGCCCAGACUCCUACGGGAGGCAGCAGUCGGGAAUCUUGCACAAUGGGCGAAAGCCUGAUGCAGCAACGCCGCGUGGGUGAAGAAGGCCUUCGGGUUGUAAAGCCCUGUUGCCUGCGACGAAGGGUCCGGGGAGGAAAUGCCCUGGGUAUGACGGUAGCAGGCGAGGAAGCCCCGGCAAACUACGUGCCAGCAGCCGCGGUAAUACGUAGGGGGCGAGCGUUGUCCGGAAUUAUUGGGCGUAAAGGGCGUGUAGGCGGCCUGUUAAGUCAGGGGUGAAAACCCGGGGCUCAACUUCGGGGUUGCCCUUGAAACUGGCGGGCUUGAGUGCUCUAGAGGGCAGUGGAAUUCCCGGUGUAGCAGUGAAAUGCGUAGAGAUCGGGAGGAACACCAGUGGCGAAGGCGGCUGCCUGGGGAGCAACUGACGCUGAGGCGCGAAAGCUAGGGGAGCAAACAGGAUUAGAUACCCUGGUAGUCCUAGCCGUAAACGAUGAGUGCUAUGUGUGAGGGGUAUCGACCCCCCUCGUGCAGGAGCCAACGCACUAAGCACUCCGCCUGGGGAGUACGGCCGCAAGGUUGAAACUCAAUGAAUUGACGG
rnacentral:rRNA from 1 species